UACGGAGGGUGCGAGCGUUGUCCGGAAUCACUGGGCGUAAAGGGCGCGUAGGCGGCCUGAUAAGUAGGGGGGUGAAAUCUUGCGGCUUAACCGCAAGGCUGCCUUCUAAACUGUCAGGCUAGAGCACAGUAGAGGCAGGUGGAAUUCCCGGUGUAGCGGUGGAAUGCGUAGAGAUCGGGAAGAACAUCAGUGGCGAAGGCGGCCUGCUGGGCUGUUGCUGACGCUGAGGCGCGACAGCGUGGGGAGCAAACAGG
rnacentral:rRNA from 1 species